GAUGAACGCUGGCGGCGUGCUUAACACAUGCAAGUCGAACGAUGAAGCCCAGCUUUCUGGGUGGGUUAGUGGCGAACGGGUGAGUAACACGUGAGUAGCCUGCGCUUCACUCUGGGAUACGCCCGGUGGAAUGGGUCUAUUACCGGAUAUAAGCGCAUGUCGCAUGACGGGUGUUGGAGAGAUUUUGCGGUCAUGGAUGGACUCGCGUCGUGUCAGCUUGUUUGGUAGGUAAGGGCUCGCCAAGCCGACGCGGGGAAGCCGGGCUGGGAGGGUGACCGGACACACUGGGACUGAGAUAAGGCACAGACUCGUACGGGAGGCAGCAGUGGGGAAGAUUGCACAAUGGGCGGAAGCCUGAUGCAGUGACGCCGCGUGGGGGAUAACAGCCUUCGGGUUGUAAACCUCUUUCAGUAGGGAAGAAGCGAUAGUGACGGUACCUGAAGAAGAAGCACCGGCUAACUACGUG
rnacentral:rRNA from 1 species